rnacentral:lncRNA from 1 species
CUAAGUAGACUGACUACCAAUUCUAAUUCGAAGCUCAUUACUUAGUAAUACUAGAAAACUUCUUGAAUUUCGAUCUUAAAUUAAUUUGCAAAGGAAGGAUCUUUUUAAAAUAUGAUCUUAUUUUGGUACAUUGCUAAGGGACUAGCAAUGAUUAAGUUGGGGGGUGUGAUUUAUGUCACAAAUUGACAUAAAAAGUAUCAAUUAAUAUCUAAAUUAUCUAACUUUAUUAAGAAAUUGAUACUUGUUAUUAUAUUUUAUAGAAGAAGAGGUCAUCAAUAGAAAGAACAAGGAAAGAGGAUUCCAACGGCAUAAAUUUUACACAAAACGGAGUUAAAUUGAUCCAGGAAUUGAAGAAUGAAGAAAGAAGACUUAAUUGGGUCAAAUCCGAGUCAAAUCAGGUCAAAAUUGGUCAAAAAUCAACUGAUUUGGUGAUCUGGUUAGCCGCCUGGUCCACAGCAACAGGC